rnacentral:rRNA from 1 species
UUGUGUACCCGGCUGAACUUAAGCAUAUUCAAUAAGCGGAGGAAAAGAAACCAACAGGGAUUGCCCUAGUAACGGCGAGUGAAGCGGCACCAGCUCAAAUUUGAAAUCUGGCCCCUUGGGUCCGAAAUUGUAAUUUGUAGAGGAUGUUUUGGUGCGGUAUCUUCCGAGUUCCUUGGAACAGGACGCCUUAGAGGGUGAGAGCCCCGUACGGUUGAAUGCCUAGCCUUUGUAAAACUCCUUCGACGAGUCGAGUAGUUUGGGAAUGCUGCUCUAAAUGGGAGGUAAAUUUCUUCUAAAGCUAAAUACCGGCCAGAGACCGAUAGCGCACAAGUAGAGUGAUCGAAAGAUGAAAAGCACUUUGAAAAGAGGGUUAAAUAGCACGUGAAAUUGUUGAAAGGGAAGGAUUUAUGACCAGACUUUUUCUAGGCGAAUCAUCCGGUGUUCUCACCGGUGCACUUCGUUUAGUUUAGGCCAGCAUCGAUUUUUGGGGCGGGAUAAAAGCUUCAGGAAUGUGGCUCCUUCGGGAGUGUUAUAGCCUGUUGUAUAAUACCGCCCUGGGGAUCGAGGUACGCGCUUCUGCAAGGAUGCUGGCGUAAUGGUUAUCAAUCACCCGUCUUGAAACACGGACCAAGGAGUCGAACAUUUGUGCAAGUGUUUGGGUGUUAAACCCUCACGCGUAAUGAAAGUGAACGGAGGUGAGAGCCCUUACGGGUGCAUCAUCGACCGAUCCUGAUGUCUUCGGAUGGAUUUGAGUAAGAGCAUAAAUGUUCGGACCCGAAAGAUGGUGAACUAUGCGUGGAUAGGGUGAAGCCAGAGGAAACUCUGGUGGAGGCUGCGCAGCGGUUCUGACGUGCAAAUCCGAUCGUCAAAUCUGCGCAUGGGGGCGAAAGACCUAAUCGAACCCAUCCUCCCUCGU